CACGUAGGGGGCAAGCGUUGUCCGGAUUUAUUGGGCGUAAAGAGCUCGUAGGCGGUUCGGCAAGUCGGGUGUGAAACCCCCAGGCUCAACCUGGGGACGCCACCCGAUACUGCUGUGACUUGAGUCCGGUAGGGGAGCGUGGAAUUCCUGGUGUAGCGGUGAAAUGCGCAGAUAUCAGGAGGAACACCAGUGGCGAAGGCGACUUCCUGGCCUGUUCUUGACGCUGAGGCGCGAAAGCUAGGGGAGCAAACGGG
rnacentral:rRNA from 1 species